rnacentral:rRNA from 1 species
UGGGGAAUUUUGGACAAUGGGGGCAACCCUGAUCCAGCCAUGCCGCGUGUAUGAAGAAGGCCUUAGGGUUGUAAAGUACUUUUGUUAGGGAAGAAAAGUCAGCUGUGAAUAAUGGCUGAUACUGACGGUACCUAAAGAAUAAGCACCGGCUAACUACGUGCCAGCAGCCGCGGUAAUACGUAGGGUGCGAGCGUUAAUCGGAAUUAUUGGGCGUAAAGCGAGUGUAGACGGUUAUUUAAGCCAGAUGUGAAAUACCCGAGCCUAACUUGGGAGGUGCAUAUGGAACUGGGUAGCUAGAGUGUGUCAGAGGGAGGUAGAACUCCACGUGUAGCAGUGAAAUGCGUAGAGAUGUGGAAGAAUACCGAUGGCGAAGGCAGCCUCCUGGGAUAACACUGACGUUGAGGCUCGAAAGCGUGGGGAGCAAACA